CAGUAGCCGCGGGAAUACGAAGGGGGCUAGCGUUGUUCGGAUUUACUGGGCGUAAAGCGCACGUAGGCGGACUUUUAAGUCAGGGGUGAAAUCCCGGGGCUCAACCCCGGAACUGCCUUUGAUACUGGGAGUCUUGAGUUCGAGAGAGGUGAGUGGAAUUGCGAGUGUAGAGGUGAAAUUCGUAGAUAUUCGCAGGAACACCAGUAGCGAAGGCGGCCCACUGGCUCGAUACUGACGCUGAGGUGCGAAAGCGUGGGGAGCAAACAGGAUUAGAUACCCCCGUAGUCCCUGUCUCUUAUAC
rnacentral:rRNA from 1 species